UGCAUUUACCUUGUCCCGAUCUGUGAUUUGUAAUUGUACCAUGUUUGGUCAAUCUUGUCAUUUUUGUUUAUUAAGAGCAAGCUCUUAAGGUACGGACGACCAUAAAUGUCAUCAUUUGACCUAGAAUGUUUCUUGAUUUUCACCAAAUUACACCUACAUAACAAAGAAAUGCUCACUCCUACACAUGCUGGUGUUUUGGGCCGCAGGGCAAACAUUUCUAACAAAGAACACUAUAAAUGAUUUUUCUUUCAUAUUUAUGAAAAAGACACCAACUUGCGUAAAGACAGGAGUAGUGAGUGCACGUAAAAUGGUGAGUUUCUGUCGAUGAAUUUAACAAACUACAGAUACGGUUGCUUGUUUUCGUUGCCUUGGUGACAGUCGUCUGCAGUCAGUGUAACGACUUCGCCAUUCAGUACCAAUGUAUGAUGAGAUCUAACCAGAAACUGGAGGCGUGUACAACGUCGUGUUCCGGAUAUGGAUGUCUUAAGACACAGUGCAAACUAAACUGCCACCAGGACGCCUAUAGACGCCUGUCAAUGUGCAUAACACUAGAAUAGUGAAACAACCACACUGUAUAAUGCAACUUUAUUGAUACCAGAUAAUUACAUUACACUUCAUUUUAAAAUUAAACUGCAAGUUUUCUGUUUAUUUCAAUAAAUCGGACAGUAUCCCGA